AACAUUCAUUGCUGUCGGUGGGUUGUAGUUUAGAAUAGCUCAUUGAUCAAUGAAUGCAAA
rnacentral:pre_miRNA from 1 species